GUGGGGAAUAUUGGACAAUGGGCGCAAGCCUGAUCCAGCCAUGCCGCGUGAGUGAUGAAGGCCUUAGGGUUGUAAAGCUCUUUUGUCCGGGAAGAUAAUGACUGUACCGGAAGAAUAAGCCCCGGCUAACUUCGUGCCAGCAGCCGCGGUAAUACGAAGGGGGCUAGCGUUGUUCGGAAUCACUGGGCGUAAAGCGCACGUAGGCGGACCAUUAAGUCAGGGGUGAAAGCCUGGAGCUCAACUCCAGAACUGCCUUUGAUACUGAUGGUCUCGAGUAUGGAAGAGGUUGGUGGAACUGCGAGUGUAGAGGUGAAAUUCGUAGAUAUUCGCAAGAACACCGGUGGCGAAGGCGGCCAACUGGUCCAUUACUGACGCUGAGGUGCGAAAGCGUGGGGAGCAAACAGGAUUAGAUACCCUUGUAGUCC
rnacentral:rRNA from 1 species